UACGUAGGGGGCAAGCGUUGUCCGGAAUCAUUGGGCGUAAAGAGCGUGUAGGCGGCCCGGUAAGUCCGCUGUGAAAGUCCAGGGCUCAACCCUGGGAUGCCGGUGGAUACUGUCGGGCUCGAGUCCGGAAGAGGAGUGUGGAAUUCCUGGUGUAGCGGUGAAAUGCGUAGAUAUCUGGAGGAACACCGGUGGCGAAGGCGGCAUCCUGGACCAACACUGACGCUGAGGAGCGAAAGCCAGGGGAGCAAACGGG
rnacentral:rRNA from 1 species